rnacentral:rRNA from 1 species
GAUGAACGCUGGCGGCGUGCCUAAUACAUGCAAGUCGAGCGAACAGACGAGGAGCUUGCUCCUCUGACGUUAGCGGCGGACGGGUGAGUAACACGUGGAUAACCUACCUAUAAGACUGGGAUAACUUCGGGAAACCGGAGCUAAUACCGGAUAACAUGUUGAACCGCUUGGUUCAACAGUGAAAGACGGUCUUGCUGUCACUUAUAGAUGGAUCCGCGCCGCAUUAGCUAGUUGGUAAGGUAACGGCUUACCAAGGCAACGAUGCGUAGCCGACCUGAGAGGGUGAUCGGCCACACUGGAACUGAGACACGGUCCAGACUCCUACGGGAGGCAGCAGUAGGGAAUCUUCCGCAAUGGGCGAAAGCCUGACGGAGCAACGCCGCGUGAGUGAAGAAGGUCUUCGGAUCGUAAAACUCUGUUAUUAGGGAAGAACAAAUGUGUAAGUAACUAUGCACGUCUUGACGGUACCUAAUCAGAAAGCCACGGCUAACUACGUG